GAAAACCAACCUCCACUUUUCAUCAAACUUCCACAGCCCAACACCCUCCUCCUCCGCAACCAGUAAUGGCAGCCACCUCCUCCGCCUUGUUCUCAGCCCCGUCCAUCUCCUCCACAGCCACAAGGCACCACCAAACCCUAUCACCAACCCAAAUCUCCUUCCAAGGCCUCAGACCCCUCACCAAGUCCUCCCCUCCCACCAAGCUUGGUUUGCAUGCACCCAGCACCAGGAGAAGUUCAUGCGUCGUCAAAGCUGAGCUGAACCCAUCACUGGUCAUCAGCCUGAGCACCGGACUCUCUCUCUUCCUUGGGAGGUUUGUUUUCUUCAACUUCCAGAGAGAGAAUGUGGCCAAGCAAGGGUUGCCGGAGCAGAACGGGGUGACGCACUUUGAGGCUGGGGACACUAGGGCUAAGGAGUAUGUGAGCCUCCUCAAGUCUAAUGACCCUGUUGGGUUCAACAUUGUGGAUGUUUUGGCUUGGGGUUCUAUCGGUCACAUCGUGGCUUACUACAUCUUGGCCACCUCUAGCAAUGGCUAUGAUCCCAAGUUCUUUGAAUAAAUAUUAUCAUUUUGAAUUUAAAUUUGAGUUGAAUCCAUAUCAUGUUGUUGUGAGGUCUCUCUCUUGUUUGUAAUUUGUAUAGCUUAUCAAUGAAUCGCUAGUUUGGGAAGUUCUUAUGCUUUUCUUUGUUGUUUUAUUUUUUGUUUCGUGGUUCUUCGAAGUAACAACACUAGAGGCAGGACUAUAGCCAAUUAAGUUCUUCGUUUUGAGUUUGAAUGCAUGUGUUUUGUUGGAAUUUGGAAUUUACUACUUGCUAUUAUUUCAUGUUCUCAAAGGUAUCCAAAUCCAUCAUGCAAUGCACUCUUUCAAAUCUUUGGAUUGAACCCCCCUUGAGGCAUCAACAACUAUGAUGAAUUUGGGACAUUCCUUAUUUCAUAGUUUUGGAGUACCAUUCUUUUUCGGGUAAAUUGUUGUUUGACCCCCUGAACUAUUUUUUUGGUAAAUUAACCUCCUAAACUAUUUAAAAUCAGCCAAUUAACCCCUUAACGUUAGACGUCCAUUAUUUUGUCAAAUUCAAGGGCAAAUUAGUCUUUUUGUCAUCAAUUUGUACAUGUCACUUAUAACUACCAAUAAAAUUAUGACACGUGGACACAGAAUAACGUGUAAUGACAAUGUAAAAUGGUCUGUUAUGCAAACGUUUGGUUUCUUUAUGUUUCUUAUUAUGCUAUAAGUUUUUGAAUUAUUCUGUGUCCACGUGUCAUUAUUUUAUUGGUGGUUAUAACUAACUAGUAAGAAUUGAUGAUAAAAAAGAUUAAUUUGCCCUUGAAUCUGACGGAAUAGUGGACGGAAUCUAACGAAAAAUGGUUAAUUGGCUGCUUUUAAAUAGUUCGGGGAGUUAAUUUACCAAAAAAUUAGUUUAGGGGGUCAAUUUCAACUAAAGUAAUAAUUUAAGGGGUCAAACCGCAUUUACCCUUCUUUUUCGGAUACUCUUAAUAUGGUGAUGCAACAAAAUUAAUUUGAUUAUGGACAUUCACCUCUCCCAGACCCUGCGUAAAGCGGGAGCCUUGUGCACUGGGUACGACCUUUUUAUAUGUUUUUUUUAUCGACAAAAAGAUAUUUUUAACUAUUUUAAUUUAUGCGAAAUGAGGUUUGAAUUUGGAUGAAAAGGAGCUAUCACUUGACUAAAUGACCUGACUUACAUGUUUAAGCCCACAUAAGCGUAGUUUCUUCACUCAAAUUAAAAGUUAGAAAAAAAUACAGAAAUCUACUAAAUUCAGGCAAAAUCGAUGAACUUAAACAUAUCAUGAAUAUAAUCAUCUAAUUUUUGGAACUUUAGCACGAUUUAUAUUAUGAUGAAAUCCUUAUGAUUUCAUAAAAAAUGUUACUCUUAUCUUAUCACAUUUUUCAUACCACGUUUAUAACACUUCGUAUUCGUAAGCCCUAUUUCUAUUAGAGAAGUGAUACAAUUAUGAUAUGUAUCAUUUACUCUUAGAAAUCACAUUCUAUACUCCGUCUUCUUUCUCUUUUCCCUUGGAACUUAAUAUGCUCUUUCAUAUUUCUACUUUUAUUAACAGAAAAAGGAGUAAAAGGAAGGGGUCCAAACUGUACAGAAUCUUAUUAAUUUUAGCCAACAAAAGUACCUAUCAUGGCUUUGCCUUCCCAAAUAUGUGUUUUACCAAAACCAUCAGCCCAUCCCCAUUCUUCAUCUACACUCAAAAUAUUUCUCUUCAGUUAGUUAAAAACAUUUUAUCUAAAAUCUAAGCUUUUGAUUUCGAAUCUUUAUAUCUAUUUGUCUCCACUCUUGUGUAAAUACAAGUUUAAAUUUUCUUAUCAUAAAUUUUGAAUUAAUUUAUAUUAUCGUUUGUAUCGACAACCAAUAAAUAAAGUUUCAAUCUUUAAUUAUUAGGAAAGUAUUCUAGGGCCUAGUCAUAUCCAAUAUCUUAGGAAAAGGAUCAUCUUUGUGGGAUCCGAGGGAUCAAGCAAUCACGGUCGUUGCAUCAUAUAUCAUGCUAUUAUAAAUCAGUUUAAAUUUAAAAUUGAAUAUAAAUAGUAUAUAAUGAAAAUUAAACGCAUGAUAUACGAUGAACAGUCGUGAUUGCUUGAUCCCCGAAUCUCCACAUGCUUUUCCAAUAUCUUUAUAUAAUCAUAUAAUUUGACUAAAAUAAAAAGGGUGGUCCGUGCCUUCUGGUAAUCUAGCAUCUUAAUCCAUCAAAUCUUUACCCUCCCUUUUUUCUCUCUAACAAAAUGUCUGAGGUCCCAACACCAAAAAUUACAGAAAAGGAGAAGCCUUCUUCUUCCUCAGCCACUUCAGCUCACCAACAACAACUCCUCUCUCUCCCCGCCAAUGGGUCUUCUCUCUCAUCCCCCGCCUCCGCUCCAAAGGCUUAUCCUUCACCCACAGCAACGUACGAGGAAGUCGUUCAAAGCUCCGACCUUUUCUGGGAAAAGCUCAAGGAGUUUCACGAUUCGUUCAGAACCAAAUUCAUGUACGUUUUGGGUUUUGUCCCUUUUGUGAAAGCUUUGAUUUUGUAUAUUUGGGUCGUUUGGUGAAUUGGGUUGUGUUUGUUUUGCUGUUUUGGGUCUUGAUAUGUUGGCAGAAUUGGAAAAUUAUAGUUUGUAUUGACAUUGAAUUUGCGUGUUGCUACUACAGUUGACUGGUUUGAUCAAUUCAUGUAAUUUGGCUCGGUUCGUUUUUCUUACAACUUAGAUUUCGUUUUGUUGGGCUAUUUGAUGAAUUGGGUGGGUUGUUUUUGUUUUGCUAUUUUGGGUCUUAAUAUGUUGGAAUAAUUGGAAAAUUAUAUAUUUGUGUCGUGUUUUUAUCUUUUCAUUGCCUCACUUGGACUAUUGGAUCUAACGGAAGACAUGACACAAAACUGAGCGUGGCAUUCUAGGAUUCAUAUAGCCGACUCUGCUUAGUGGGAUAAGAUUUUGUUGUUGUUGUAUUGCCUCACUUGAUAUACUUCCAUUGUUUUUGCAUGUUGCAUGCUUCAAUUGACUGGUUUUAAUCAAAACUAUGUUGCCUAUUCCUCGGUUUGAAUUGAUUGAAUGGUGACUGACUGAAAAUUUUGGACUGCAUUGUACACAUUGUUUCGAGUAUUUUUAGCAAAGUCAGGAUAUUUUUUUUGGGAUUCUAGAAGUUCAGUUGAAUGCUGAUAUCAAAUUUAUAUCCCCUGUGGUGUCUCUCUCUAUUUGAGUUUGAGUUAGGGAUGGUGGACAAUGAGCAAUCCCGAGAUUUAUUGCAAUGCAAUUCAUCAUUUCCACAUACCACCUAUAAUAUUGGCUCACGUUAUCCUUCUUUUUUCUUUGCCAUUAGUAAGAUUAUUGUUUCUUACCAAGAUCUGAGUUUGUCAUUCAUGAGAGAUGCUUCAUUCAAGAAAAUUGGAAUUUCCCAAAUCUUCGUUAGUCAUUGUUUCCUUUGCAUAACUUUAAUAAAUGGGGAUUUGAUUUUCUUGAUGUCUACUUUUGAGCUGAAAUUUUCCAUGUAUGCAGCAUUACUAGACCAAAAACAGCACCAUGUCGUGGAGAAAUUACGACAGUUUCCUUUUUGAGGAUUUAAGAAUUGCUAAUUUAUUUUAGUAUGCUAUCUUUUGAUGUUGGUAUUUUUUAGCUGUUAUAACCUUAUAUUUCUUCAUUCUUAUUUUGUGGUCAUGGAAACCUACUUUCCAUGUUGAGAUAUUAAUGCGUCUUCAAUUGCUUAGUUUAUUGCUUAUCCUUGUGAAUUUGCAUUUGGUUUUGAUACCUUACAGAAGCAUAAAUAGGCUUUUUGGUAACUAGGAAAAGUUAUCAGUGAUGGUCAGUGAAAUCCUGAAACUGGGUCAUUUUAUGAGAUGUCUGAAAGUAUUUCUUCAUUAGUAUUGAAGUAGGUUAGUUUGAAGGAUACAGUCUAAGGGGUGCAGAAAUAAGCUGUUUAUGAAUGUGGACUUUGUCAUGCCACGAUUCUUUUUGUGCAUCAGAAACCGUUCCUAAACUGCUGUGCUGAUUGUAUAACUUAUUUCCUUUCAUAGUUUAUAGGCAUUGAUGAAAACUUAGUUAGGACGGCCUGGCUUGAACAGGAUCUGUCCUAUAGGAUCAUAUGUCUGAGUCCUUGAGUUCAUGAAAAUUUAGUGUAAAGUACAGAAAAAACGGAAAGUCCAUGAGGAUAAGAUUAGCCCUCUUUGUGCAGGAUUCCUACCGUAGGAGGAAAAACUCUGGAUCUACAUCUCCUUUUUGUAGAAGUCACAUCUCGUGAUGGGCUUGAAAAGGUUCGUUCAUUUUGCUUUUCUGUUUAAUGGUUGUUUAUAUGAGAUUCUUAAGCUGAGUUAAACUUAUUGCCUAUGUUAAUCUUCAUCCUUUUCUUUUCUCCCUUAUUUUGGAGCCAUUCUAAAGUUCCUUUUUUAUGUUUUGAAUUUUAUUUCACUUUAAAUUCUCUUAAACUGGUUACAGGUGAUUAGAGAUCGCAAAUGGAAGGAAGUGAUUACAGCCUUCAAUUUCCCAACAACAAUUACCAGUGCUUCGUUUGUCUUACGGAAGUACUACUUGUCUUUGCUGUAUCACUUUGAGCAGGCCUAUUAUUUCCACAAAGAAGUUUAUAGCAUACCAGUGCUUGGUAAUUGAAGACAGGGGUCCUUGUUGAUUUUGUGUCAUUUCAUGUAUUUUAUUGAUUGGAAAAUAUAUGGUUUUCUUGUUUCCUUUUUGCCAGAGCCUCUAAGGAAGAACCUUUUCAAUGGGUCAGCCACCGUGGAGGAAGGUGCAAGUAGAAACCAAUUUCCAGGUCAGGGUAGGCUUAACCUCCAUCUCGAUGUUAUGGUUCUAAUAGUGGUUGCGCCACACUAGUUGUAGAAGUAGAACCAUAUAACUAUGAGUAUGUUUUCUCUUUGGUGUCUACAUUAAACUGUAAGUUUCCAGAAAACCUUUUAUGUGCAAUUGUAGAGUAUACCUCCUGUUGACAAUUCUCAGAAGAAAUCGUAUGAAAUAAUUCUGUAACUUCUUAAAGUUAGAUAGUUGAAUAAAAAAAUUUCUUGCUAGUGGUCAAGCUUUUCUGAUGGCCCUUUUGAGAUAAUCUUCGGAAAGCUGCAAUGAAAUAGAUAAACAACAUAGGAACUUCUAUUAAGAAAUAUGGAUGAACCACAUUGUAAAUUUUAUAGGGAAUCUGUCUUAUAACUUUAUGACUUGCUAUGAUGCUUUUACUGUCGUCUUUCUAAUUCAGUAUCAUUAUUUCCUAGUUCCUUGACCUUAUUGAUAGCAUCUAGUUAUUUGAUCUGCAAGGCCGUGAAUUAAUUGCAAUAUGGAUCUGUUUUCUCUAUCUUAUGUACAGAAAGCACAGAAGUGCAGCUUGGUUGUUCAAUCAUGGGAACCAUUGAUGGGAAAUUUGACAGUGGAUAUCUGGCUACUGUCAACUUGGGUUCUGAUGAACUGAAAGGUGUCUUGUAUCAUGCUCCUACAUCUACAUAUGUUUCUCAGAGCUUUUCGGACAUGCCUACUCGACGGAACCGAAAGAGAUCCAGGUUGGCAUUACGUGAUCCCUUUCGGCCCAAGUCAAACAGGAGUGGUUACAAUUUCUUCUUCGCUGAGCAUUAUGCCAGAUUAAAACCUUUGUACUAUGGGCAAGAGAGAGCCAUCAGCAAGAAAAUUGGGUAUCUAUGGAACAAUCUCACAGAGGCUGAGAAACAGGUAUAGUGAGUUGGUGACAUUUUUUUUUUUUUUUUUUUUUUUUUUCAGUUAGUCCUUUUUCGCUCGUAACGUCCCAAGCUAAUUUCAUUAUCGUAUAUUUGUGUUCCGGUAUAGAUCUAAGGUUUGAGAAGAAGUUUCACAUGCUUGGAUAGAAUUACUAUUUUCAUCUCCUUUUGUGUUGAUUCUCAACACUUCUAACUUGCGGUAUAUUGGAAGUCUUCUUGAAGUGUUCAUCAUAACACUCCGUUGCUGCGUUGCAGGUUUAUCAGGAUAAAGCGAUGAAGGACAAGGAGAGAUACAGGACCGAACUGCUGGAAUAUAAAUCUUCCUACAAUCCUACGCAGCAAUAGCCUCCAUGUUCGUUAGAUAGGCAACUUGUUUCGUAGGCAUCAUUUUCCUCUCUUGUAUGCCUUUUUGUAGUAGUUGUCAUCGUUGCCGGUAUUUAACCUAGUUCGGUUUUCAUUUUUCUUUGGUAAGGUUACCCCUCAGUAUGCCCCAUCCGCGGAAAAGAAUUGCGGAAGGGGUGAAAGGGGGCAGCUCUUUGUAACAGCUGUUGAAUUUGCCUUCACUUUGGAUUAGUAGGAUUCCAUUGCAGUGACGAUCUUUGAUAUUUCUUGACAUUCCAAUGUAACAAUAGUAAUUCCUGGAACUGCAGUCUAAAAUUUAAGGGAGCUUAUUUUCACACACAAUCUUUAGCCUUCUACACAGCCCUCACACAUAUUCCUGACAUCGGAUUGAAUAAAUGAAAUAGAAAACACGAUUCGGAUUGAAUAAAUGAAAUAGAAAACACGAUUAGGAUUAAAUAAGCGUGUAGGAGGAGAAAAAUUAUUUGUAAUUUCCAAAAUUUAUAGGUGGAUUGAAAAGUUUUGAACAUUAUGCAAUGUUUACGAGCUCGUUUGAAAGUGCUUUUAAAAUGACUGAAUGCUCUUUUGGUGAAAUUGAUUUUGGGUUCCAAAAGUACUCAAGUGCCUUUUGGAAGAAAUACCAGAUAUGUACUUUUUCAAGAAAGCACUUAAAUGUUUUUUCAUGAUCUACUUGGAUUUUUACUAAAUAUUGGUUUUAAAAACAUUUUCAUCAAAAAGACUUACAGUCAUUUCAAAAAGACUUCCAAAUGAUACAACACCUAAUGUACGCAGAUCACUACAACUGACUUUUGAGCUAGUUAGAAUUAUUUUUUAUCUUGGGGUUUCUAUCUAUUUUUAAUCUCAUCAUCCAAGAAAAUGUUAAACACAAAAGCAUAAAAAAAAACAAAAUGAAUUACGCCACCAUCUCAAAUUUAUUGAGUGAUAUUUUAACGUAAUCUAAAUUGCAAGGAGAAGAUCAACUAAUACAAUAAUUUAGAAAUAUUUUUCUUUGUUUUUAAGUAACAUGUUUCAAAUUUGACUUACAUAGACAGCGAGGGAGUAUUGUAAUUAUGUCAAGUUUGAUACCUAAUUAAUGGCUGACUUAGCCUAGUCCCCCUCUCCUUAGAGUAAAAUAUAUUGUAACAAAAUUAUAGAGAGAGGUAACUAAGUGGGAUGAUAGAGAGAGGUAACUAAGUGGGAUGAGGCAGUGCAUUAUUAUCCUGGUCAACUUUGGCUAUGCCAAGUCCUACAUUUUUUACUUUCAAAUAUGAUUAUUACUUGCUUUCUUAAUCAACUAGAAGUAAAACUAUUGGCUUAGGAAAUACAUUUUAACGGAUACUUUUUACCUUUCAUAACGUGGUAAUACAUGUUUUACCUUAAUUAAUUAGUUCCCCUUCAAACAAACAAAAUGUAUACAUAAGUAAUGAUUUUCUUUUUGACACACAAUAUGAUAUUUUAAUACAAACAGACAAUACAAUAUGUGAAUUGGAACAUUAGAGCUCUUAAACUCGUACAUUGUACAACUAAGUGAAAAAAGCUAAACUAUAGUUAGAUGAAAGGUAGUCAUUUAGUACUACGAUAUAAUGAUAUUCUUCGAUCUAGUUGUUCAUUUUCACUUGUAAGUGAUCUUAUGUUUGAUUAUUGUCAAAAGCAAAUUUGAGCCAAAUUAUUGUCUAUUGUGAGGUUUAGCCUAACUCCUCUUUUUCGUACGAUAGAUAAAAUCGUUUGUUAAAAAAAGUUAAACAAAAAGCUUGCUGGUCAAAGACUCAAAUGCAACGACUUCCUUCACACAUUUUCUUUCGUCAAAGCAUUAAGUAGAAUUUAAAUUCCUUGCUCAUAAAAUUGGAAACAUGGAGGCCAUUCAAAGGUUUGAAACCGCGUGGAAACAAAAGGAUAGAAGAAAUAAAUUGGAAAAUUUGCUCCUCUAAUCACUUUCUUAUUUAGACUCUAGUCAUGUGUGUGGUGAGUGGUGAAUGGUGGGAACAUGAGGGCAGUGCAUCAUAUGCAAUUAUAUAAUUGGAGAAACGUUUGAAAAUAAAAACUUUUCACCACUUGUAUAUUAACAUUUGGCGUACCAUUACGUGUUUUGAGUGUACUGAAAAAUCUAGUGAAUGGUGGUAUGAGAUGUGAAAAUUCACAUAAAAGAGGAUCAAAAGGGAUAAUAAUGACAUGCAUUAACUUAAAGGAUGGCGAUAAGCACGGAUUUUGAAACUAACCCAAGAGAGUUCCCACUUUGCUAGGCUUCUUGCCCCCUUUUAAUUUCCUCUCCUUGAUAGAGUAGGAAAUCCUUUUGGGAUUUUAUUCUAAUUAGAAAAAUGAGAUUUUUUAAUAUAUGCUGCGAAUAUCUUAUGUAUUGAAAAUUUUAAUCAAUAUAUUAUUGGUUAAAGAUUCAACAAUUAAAGUUGCAAACGUUUAAAAAUUUAGUGUAUAAAGUACAUCAAAGUAUAGUAAAUUUUUUAUUAAAAAAUAGUGGAAUAAUUUAUCAUUGAUUAACACUUAUAAAGGGUAACACAAAUAAGAAGAGAAAAAAAAAAUCCUUAAAAAAAAGAAGACAAAAAGCUAAUUUUUGGGGUUGGAGGAAUAAUUACAAAGAAAAGAUUGUAUCCUAAAUUUUUGUGAAAACUGAGAGAAUUCCGGAUGAUUGGCCUUGGAGUAUCUUCCAAGGAAGAUUAAAAUUAAAUUAUAAUGUAAGAUAAAAAUUAGAAAAAAAAAAUUAAAGGAAGAAAUUCCAAAAACCCUUACUCUUUGGGGCAGGUAUGGUUUAGUGUUGUAAGUGGGGCUCCUAAAUACUCGUAGUGGGAUAGAAGAGAGUGGCACACUUCAUACUAAACAGUACUACCUAAACCUUUGUUUGGAUGGAGUUUAAUUUUUCAUUUUUCAUUGAACUCUUCUUAUUUUUUGAAGGAUCUCUCUCAAAAUUAGGAUUGUUAUGACCUCUUUGUCAACCCAUAGUUUAAAGUUAAUUUUGUGUUAACAUUAUAAAAUAUUAUACCAAAAGCAUAAGGUAACAAGGAUUUUAUAAAGAGUCUUAAGAGAGUUCGAUUAUCAGUUCACUAUCUUUUGUGUGGUGGUUUUAUGGUUUUCAAACUUUUCAAAAUUCUCAUACUAUUCUCAGUCAGUGACUCAAAAUUCCGUGAGAAUUUGGAGAUUCUGAAAGAACGGAUUAACAGGCUUUGACGGUCAAUUGCCCAUGAACCAAAACUCAUACAAACAGCAGUUAAACCCAAAAUAAUAUUAAUUAAAAAACCUAACAAUAUCUAUAAAAAUAUAACAAUUAUAAUUCUCUUUCUAUAACAAUUUGGUGACUUGAAAGACCGAAGGCCUGCCUAACUGCUGCAGAAUUUGUGAAGUCCUCUCUCUCUCUUAGCUCUUCUGGGUUUGUUUCUCUGCUCCUUUCCUUGGCUAUUUUUCAACUCUAAUCUUUUUUUUUGAGCUGUAAUCUGAUGACAUCAUUAGCUGGCUGGAAGCCACUGAAUUUCCUUGUUUUCUUUCCCCUCUUAGAGUUCUUGAUUAUAUUGAGGUCAGGAUUUUCAGGACUUAUAAUUACCCAAAACAAGAUCAUGAUCAAAGUAGCCUAAUUUUGCUUCUCAGCUAAGCUAACCUUUUCACAUUUAUAUUUGCAUAUAUAUAUAUAUAUAAAAUCUCAAUCUCCUAGUAGGGUUCCGCAUACUCACAUCCUUAGCUUUAGCUCCUUUCUACCCAAAUCUUCUUUCUUUUCUUAUUCCCCAAGCACCAAAAAAAAAAAAAAAAAAAAAAAAAAAAA
rnacentral:lncRNA from 1 species